rnacentral:rRNA from 1 species
CCUACGGGAGGCAGCAGUGGGGAAUAUUGCACAAUGGGGGAAACCCUGAUGCAGCGACGCCGCGUGGGUGAAGAAGCGCCUCGGCGCGUAAAGCCCUGUCAGCAGGGAAGAAAAUGACGGUACCUGAAGAAGAAGCCCCGGCUAACUACGUGCCAGCAGCCGCGGUAAUACGUAGGGGGCAAGCGUUAUCCGGAUUUACUGGGUGUAAAGGGGGCGCAGACGGCGAUGCAAGCCAGGAGUGAAAGCCCGGGGCCCAACCCCGGGACUGCACUUGGAACUGCGUGGCUAGAGUGCAGUAGGGGCAGGCGGAAUUCCUGGUGUAGCGGUGAAAUGCGUAGAUAUCAGGAGGAACACCGGUGGCGAAGGCGGCCUGCUGGACUGCAACUGACGUUGAGGCCCGAAAGCGUGGGGAGCAAACAGGAUUAGAUACCCCAGUAGUC